rnacentral:misc_RNA from 1 species
GCAAACUUGGUCAUUUAGAGGAAGUAAAAGUCGUAACAAGGUUUCCGUAGGUGAACCUGCGGAAGGAUCAUUAGCGAAUAAACUUGCGUAGGUUGUUGCUGGCCUUCUUGGAGGCAUGUGCACGCUUGCCAUUGUUUCAUUCCUCCCUUCCACCUGUGCACUUUCUGUAGACCAGGCCCAUCACCCCUUCAGUGGUGUUUUCCACCCUGGCAAUGAGGAUUUGCCCUGGCUGUCCUUGGAUGGUCUGGUUUAUGUCUUACCAACACUUUAUUGUAUGGUAUUGAACGUUAGUCUGGGUCCUAAUAUGACCCAUAAAACCCUAUACAACUUUCAACAACGGAUCUCUUGGCUCUCGCAUCGAUGAAGAACGCAGC